rnacentral:rRNA from 1 species
UACGGAGGGGGCUAGCGUUGUUCGGAAUUACUGGGCGUAAAGCGCACGUAGGCGGACUGUUAAGUCGGGGGUGAAAUCCUGGGGCUCAACCUCAGAAUUGCCUCCGAUACUGGCAGUCUCGAGUGCGGGAGAGGUGAGUGGAAUUCCCAGUGUAGAGGUGAAAUUCGUAGAUAUUGGGAAGAACACCAGUGGCGAAAGGCGGCUGCGCUGGGCCGAUUCCUGAGCGCUGAGACGCGAAAGCUAGGGGAGCGAACAGG